rnacentral:rRNA from 1 species
UGGGGAAUCUUGCGCAAUGGGCGAAAGCCUGACGCAGCCAUGCCGCGUGAAUGAUGAAGGUCUUAGGAUUGUAAAAUUCUUUCACCGGGGACGAUAAUGACGGUACCCGGAGAAGAAGCCCCGGCUAACUUCGUGCCAGCAGCCGCGGUAAUACGAAGGGGGCUAGCGUUGCUCGGAAUUACUGGGCGUAAAGGGAGCGUAGGCGGACAUUUAAGUCAGGGUGAAAUCCCGGGGCUCAACCUCGGAAUUGCCUUUGAUACUGGGUGUCUUGAGUAUGAGAGAGGUGUGUGGAACUCCGAGUGUAGAGGUGAAAUUCGUAGAUAUUCGGAAGAACACCAGUGGCGAAGGCGACACACUGGCUCAUUACUGACGCUGAGGCUCGAAAGCGUGGGGAGCAAACAGGAUUAGAUACCCUGGUAGUCCACGCCGUAAACGAUGAUUGCUAGUU